rnacentral:rRNA from 1 species
AUAACGGUGUCGGCUCCUUGUGAGCUGAUAACCGGAAUGAGAACAAUUUAAACCCCUUAUCGAUUAUCCAUUGGAGGGCAAGUCUGGUGCCAGCAGCCGCGGUAACACCAGCUCCAAUAGCGUAUAUUAAAGUUGUUGCAGUUAAAAAGCUCGUAGUUGGAUUUCUGCUUUGAGCGACCCUCGGAUUGUGGGUUAAUUCUCGCUUCUAUAGGUGUUGCUCGAGCUUCCUUCGUGGAGAACAUUUAGGUUCUUAAUUGAAUUCUAUUUGGGAUCCCGAUCUUUUACUUUGAAAAAAUUAGAGUGUUCAAAGCAGGCUUAUGCCUUUGAAUACAUUAGCAUGGAAUAAUAAGAUAGGACUUUGGUUCUAUUUUGUUGGUUUCUAGGACUAAAGUAAUGAUUGAUAGGGAUAGUUGGGGGUGCUAGUAUUCAACGGCCAGAGGUGAAAUUCGGUGAUUCGUUGAAGACUAACUUAUGCGAAAGCAUUCACCAAGGAUGUCUUCUUUAAUCAAGAACGAAAGUUGAGGGAUCGAAGACGAUCAGAUACCGUCGUAGUCUCAACCGUAAACUAUGCCGACUCGGGAUUGGUAGACGUUUUUUUGACUCUAUCAGCACCGUAUGAGAAAUCAAAGUCUUUGGGUUCCGGGGGGAGUCUGGUCGCAAGGCUGAAACUUAAAGGAAUUGACGGAAGGGCACCACCAGGAGUGGAGCCUGCGGCUUAAUUUGACCCAACACGGGAAAACUUACCAGGUCCAGACAUAGUGAGGAUUGACAGAUUGAAGAUCUUUCUUGAUUCUAUGGGUGGUGGUGCAUGGCCGUUCUUAGUUGGUGGAGUGAUUUGUCUGGUUUAUUCCGAAAACGAACGAGACCUCAGCCUACUAAAUAGUUGUAUUAUUUCUCUCCGAAAUGAUGUUCAACUUCUUAGAGGGACUUUUGGUGUUUAGCCAAAGGAAGCUUGAGGCAAUAACAGGUCUGAGAUGCCCUUUGAUGUUCUGGGCUGCACGCGCGCUACACUGGCACGUUCAACGGGCAUACAACCUUGGUCGGGAGGCCUGGGUAAUCUUUGAAAUCGUGCCGUGAUGGGGCUAGAUUAUUGCAAUUAUUAAUCUUAAACGAGGAAUUCCUAGUAAGCGCAAGUCAUCAGCUUGCAUUGAUUACGUCCCUGCCCUUUGUACACACCGCCCGUCGCUCCUACCGAUUGAAUGAUCCGGUGAAAUCUUCGGAUUGAGCAUGUGAAGGCAUUUGCCGAUCACGAGUCUUGAGAAGUUGAUUAAACCUUAUCAUUUAGAGGAAGGAGAAGUCGUAACAAGGU